rnacentral:lncRNA from 10 species
AUGCUAGUUCUCUGCACACCUUGUCCUGCCGGGGUGGUCCUCAUGGUCGCCAGAGGAGGGAGAGCACACACCCCCGUUAGACACAGAGGUUAGACACAUCGUCCUCAGAGUCUCACCGGGCCUGGGCAAGAGUGCACUGGUUUCCAAAGCGGAGUGCAUCUGUGAACCUCCGUUACACUCACCACUUACAAAAGUACGCAUGCUUGUUAAAACUCGUGGAGAAGAAGCUGCAAGGUGCCAUAAUUCCAGCACCUGGGGGAGCCCUAUGGCGUUUCAUGCUUGUCCUCCAGGGGUCACAUGCCUCCAACAGGAAGACGGGCUGGGCUGUGGGCAGAUGAGAGCACCACGUGGUGAGCUUCCCUCUGCGGCCCACCCUGGACGCCCAGCCCCAUGGCCAUCGUCCCCUCGAUGUAACGCCUCGAGCGUUACAUCUCGUAAUGAUGUAAUGCCUUGAUGUAACAUCCCCACGUAACGCCUCGAGCCUCCGUGGCAUGACCUGCCGUGGCUGUUGAGUUGGGCUGCUCCUGUCAGGGUGGCGACAUGUCCCCACGUCCCUGUCACCCAUGCGGACCCACCACCCACAUGAUCCUGUUAUCCACAAGUCCUGGUGAUUAUUUUGCUCCUCGACCCAUGGCCCCUGUCCAGUUCUCACUAAGUGUCCAGGCACUCCCGGUUUUGUUUGUUUGUUUUUGAGAUGGAGUCUUGCUGUGUCACCCAGAGUGGCGCCCAGAUCAUAUAGUGGCGCGAUCUCAGCUCACUGCAACCUCUGCCUCCCAGGUUCAAACAAUUCUCCCACCUCAGCCUCCUGAGUAGCUGAGACUG